ensembl:misc_RNA Metazoa_SRP Metazoan signal recognition particle RNA
GUCAGGUAUGGUUGCACUCACCUGCGGUCUCAGCUACUCAGGAGGCUUAGGCAGGAGGAUUGCUUAAGCGUAGGUGUCCUGCUGCAAUCUGCUGUGUCAAGUGGGUAUCUGCACAGAGUUUGGUAUCAAUAAGAUGAACUCCUGGGAGCCAGGAGACCACUAGGUUACCUAAAGAGGGAUGAGAUAGCCAAGGUCGAAAACAGCAGGUCAAAACUUCAGUGUUAAUCAAUUGCAGGAUAGCACCCGUAAAAAGCCACUGUCCUCCAGCCUAGGCAACAUAAGGAGACCCUGUCUCUU